UACAGAGGUCUCGAGCGUUUAAGGCGGAAAUCACUGGGCUUAAAGCUGUGUGUAGGCGGAUGCCUAAAGUACCUUGUGAAAUCCCACGGCUUAACCGGUGGAACUGCUUGGUAUACUGGGUGGUCUUGAGGCCACUUCAAUGGGGCGAGGCGGGAAACAAAUGGUGGAAGGCGGUGAAAUACGUAGAUAUCAAUUUGGAACGCCAAUGGGUGAAAACAGCUCG
rnacentral:rRNA from 1 species